UACGGGGGGAGCAAGCGUUGUUCGGAUUUACUGGGCGUAAAGGGCGCGUAGGCGGCCACCGCAAGUCGAUUGUGAAAUCUCCGGGCUUAACCCGGAAAGGUCAACCGAUACUGCGGGGCUAGAGUGCAGAAGGGGCAACUGGAAUUCUCGGUGUAGCGGUGAAAUGCGUAGAUAUCGAGAGGAACACCUGCGGCGAAGGCGG
rnacentral:rRNA from 1 species